CCCUGCUUAGACUGCUGCCCCCGCGACCCGGCCCCGGAUAAGCGGAAGAAGAUGGAUGGAUGGAUGGACUUUCUGGAUAAAAGGUGUCGAGGUGUGUUGUACAUUCCAUUAGCUUUGCACAGUUCAAUUAUUGUUUCAUUACUGAAUAUGCAAUCUCUGCAGUGAAAUUAAAGCUGUUUUGUUUGUUCCCCCAGCACGUCAAGUACUAAGGUUUACACCCCCAGCAGCAAAUUUACCCUGGCAGCAUAUGGGUGAAAACGCUGGAGGGACCCACAGCUGACCCCUUAAACCUAGGCUGACUACUGGAACCCCAGCAUCACUGAACUGGAACACUUUCUUUAUCCUGCAGUUAGUAACAUCAAGAAGCCAGAAAUGCCAGACCACACUCACCAAAUCCACACUGUUCACUGUGGAUAUUUAUAUAUUUUUUGUAUUUUAACUUUAGUAUUGGCUUAUUUCAUUCCGUCAGUGCUUAACGAUUCUAUUAUAGUUUGUAAAUCCUAUUUCAUACCUGUUACUUGAUAUUGCACAUUAACUAGUACCAAAAUUCUACUUUCAUUCCAUCAGUGUGCUUAACUGUUAUUCUAUUAAUAAUAGCUUGGAAAUACUAUUUCAUACCUCUUAUUCUUGAUAUUGGUAUUGCUGGUACCAAAUAUUCUACUUACUCUGUUUUUAACAUCAGCAUUUUUUAUUCCAUCACAGUGCUUAACUGUUAUUCAAUUGUUAAAUAUAGCUUGUAAAUCCUUGUGCCACAGGUCAGCAUUGCAGUUAUAAUGGUCUGUUCUGCUACUGUUUUUACCUCUGUAUUUUUAUAUAAAUAUAUAUGUCAAGUUUUGUUUAUCACAGAUACAAGAGACACAGAUCUUAUUGCAGCACGGUGUAAAUUUUGUGCUCCAGGUCAGCAAUGCCAUUAUAAUGGUCUAUUCUACUCUAGAGCUUUACUCUAAAUUAUUACCACUUUUCCUAUUGUUAGAAAUGGCUUGAAAAUGUGAUGUUAGACUUCAAUUUAUUUAAAAUCCUGCACAUUCUUUGGUACCAAAUAUCCUCAUUACUUGUUAUGUUUACUGGUAAUUAUUUUCAUCCCAGAGCUGAC
ensembl:lncRNA